AAUAGAUACCCCGGUAGUCCACGCCGUAAACGAUGAAUACUAGGUGUAGGAGGUAUCGACCCCUUCUGUGCCGCAGUUAACACAAUAAGUAUUCCGCCUGGGGAGUACGAUCGCAAGAUUAAAACUCAAAGGAAUUGACGGGGGCCCGCACAAGCAGCGGAGCAUGUGGUUUAAUUCGAAGCAACGCGAAGAACCUUACCUAGACUUGACAUCUCCUGAAUUACCCUUAACCGGGGAAGCCCUUCGGGGCAGGAAGACAGGUGGUGCAUGGUUGUCGUCAGCUCGUGUCGUGAGAUGUUGGGUUAAGUCCCGCAACGAGCACAACCCUUAUCAUUAGUUGCUACCAUUAAGUUGAGCACUCUAGUGAGACUGCCACGGUUAACGUGGAGGAAGGUGGGGAUGACGUCAAAUCAUCAUGCCCCUUAUGUCUAGGGCUACACACGUGCUACAAUGGUGAGUACAAAGAGAUGCAAUACCGUGAGGUGGAGCCAAACUCAAAAACUCAUCCCAGUUCGGAUUGUAGGCUGAAACUCGCCUA
rnacentral:rRNA from 1 species